UAAACUGACUGCCUUCUGUCUGCUCGGAGUAAAUUUCAUCCUGUCAUCAGGUCGCGGAGGAGGGGUUUGCUAAUACACAGUUUGCUCAGUGGAUCGAUGCUUCCUGGCAUCGCCUCGUCCUGCCUGUGCGUGUGAGUGUGUGUUUGUGUGUGUAUUUGUGUGUGUGUGUGGGUGAGGUAUAUGGAUGUGGGUUAGGGUGCGUGCGUGCGUGUGUGUGAACACCCAGAUUUCCUUCCACCCCCCCCGAGCUCCGCCGUUCCUCAUCCACAUCACUCCCAACCCGGCAUCUGGCGGCUGCAAACCUGCAGGUUUUUUUUUCCUCGGCGGAUAGUCGUCCAGCCGCCAUAGAGAGAGCUACGCGAAGGAGGCGGAGAGGAGAAGGGGGGAAAAUAAUAAUAAUAAUAAUAAAAGGCCAGGGGGGGGAAGACGAGGAAAUAGCAAACCUCCCCCCCCUUCUUCGCCAGCCGAGCAAACCGAACUAUUUACGCAUCCCGAUUUUGUUAUUUAUUGAUCCACUUUAAGAAAGAAAACAAAAAGAACCAACAUUGCCCCGGCGCCCAGCGAGGGUUCCUCUCCUUUUGCCUUGGAUGUGCCUGGAUGUCUGCAUCAAAGGAAGUCUCGCAACAGUUCAAACAAAACAAGAGGGACAAAAAAGGCGGCCCCCCCUCAGCUCCCCCAGCGCCGUUUUGGUUGUAAGAAAGAAAGAAAGAGAGUGAGAAAGAGAGAGCGAGAGAGGGGGGGGAAAGGGAGAGAAAAGAGCCCCAAACAAAGCUGCCACCCUCCGCAUCCCCGAACAGGUUGAUCGCGCCCCGAGGAGAAAGCGAAGGCGCUCGGCGCUGGGGUUGCCGCCGUGCCGUUGAGCGGGCUGAGAGAAGGAGGGAAAAGGGAGGAAAAACACACACGCGCGCACACACACACACACACAGGCGCGCACGCCGAGAGUGAGGGAGAAAGAGAGAGAGAGAGAGAGAGAGAGAGAAAACAAACCCCGCCAGCCUCGGAGCGGCUUCGGAUCUGGGAAAAGAGAAGUGAGGUUGGAGAAAGUACAGCGAUGCCAAGGCGGAAACAGCAGGCACCCAAAAGGGCGGCAGGUUAUGUCCAAGAGGAUGAUUUGAAAGAUGAGGAAGACAUAAAAGAGGAGGAAGAGGACGAUGAUGAGAGCAAUUCAACGGCUCAUCUUCAGGGUAGCAAUGACCCAGGAACAGAUGAAGAACAUGAAACUGGUCCUGAUCCAAGAGGAAGCUUAAGCUACCAGAAUUCCCCAGGGAGCCAUCUCUCCAAUCAGGAUGCAGAAAAUGAAUCCUUGCUCAGUGAUGCUAGCGACCAGGUGGCAGACAUUAAAAGCCUCUGCUCCAGGGAGGCAUCGGACUCCAAAGGCAAUAUCCAUCCCAAACAUCCAACGGAAGCACACAGCUGCAUGGAUAAAAUGACAGCUGUCUAUGCUAACAUCCUUUCAGAUUCUUAUUGGACAGGUUUGGGACUGGGGCUCAAACUGUCCAGUUCUGAUAAGAGGUCAUGCGACAAUAGAAACGGAGCAAGCAAAAGUGACUUUGAUUGGCAUCAGGAUGCCUUGACCAAAAGCUUGCAGCAGAGUUUACCAGUCCGGCCACUCUCCAAGCCAAACCUUUUCAGCUCAGUCCAGCUGUACAGACAAAGCAGCAAAAUGUGCGGAACUGUAUUCACAGGUGCUAGUAGGUUUCGGUGUAGGCAGUGCAGCGCUGCCUAUGAUACCUUAGUUGAGCUUACUGUCCAUAUGAAUGAAAGUGGCCAUUACCAAGAUGACAACCAUAAAAAAGACAAGCACAGAUCUACCAGCUAUUCCAAGCCCCGAAAAAGGGCUUUUCAGGACAUGGAUAAAGAAGAUGCUCAGAAAGUUCUGAAAUGUAUGUUCUGUGGUGACUCUUUUGACUCUCUUCAAGAUCUGAGUGUUCAUAUGAUCAAAACAAAACAUUACCAAAAAGUGCCUUUGAAGGAGCCAGUACCUACCAUAUCUUCCAAGAUGGUGACUCCAAAUAAGAAACGUGUAUUCGACAUUAAUAGGCCUUGCUCUCCAGAUUCGACCACGGGAUCUUUUGCUGACACGUUCUCUUCUCAUAAGAAUGCCAACCUGCAGCUCUCGUCUAACAAUCGUUACGGCUACCAGAACGGUGCCAGCUAUACAUGGCAGUUUGAAGCAUGCAAAUCACAGAUUCUCAAGUGCAUGGAAUGUGGGAGCUCCCACGAUACUUUGCAGCAACUCACAACCCACAUGAUGGUCACGGGUCACUUCCUGAAAGUCACCAGCUCAGCUUCCAAGAAAGGGAAACAACUUGUUUUGGAUCCCUUGGCUGUGGAAAAAAUGCAGUCACUUUCUGAUGCGUCAGCCACUGACAGCCAGCAUUCAAAACCCUCCAAUAAUUCAUCAACCGAUUCUACAGCUCCUUCUUCAGAGCUAAAAAAGGAGAGUAGGCAAAAUAAAUCUGAGGAAGCAAACAAAGAUGAAAAAGGGGUAAAAAAUGAAGACUACGAAGACGCUCUUCAAAAACCACUGGACCCGACAAUGAAAUAUCAGUAUCUCCGGGAGGAAGAUUUAGAAGAUGCUUCAAAAGGUGGUGGAGACAUUUUGAAGUCUUUGGAAAACACUGUCACCACAGCCAUCAAUAAAGCUCAGAAUGGAGCACCCAGCUGGAGUGCGUAUCCCAGCAUCCAUGCAGCAUACCAGCUCUCGGAGGGAACAAAGCCUUCCUUACCGGUGGGUUCCCAGGUUUUGCAAGUUCGACCAACAGUCAGUAAUAAACUGAGGCCCAUUGCUCCAAAAUGGAAAGUGAUGCCUAUAGUACCCAUGACAGCUAAUAUAGUCCAGUGCAGUCAGAUGAAAAAAGAAGGAGACUCCAAGAAGGAAGCUCAUAAGAACUACAUUAAAGACAGCAACAAGACAGAUGUGGUUCCACCGUAUCAGAACGAAGGCUCACCUCCUCAGGCUGAGACAUGUGUAGAGCCCAAAAAGUCAGAGCUAAGUCCUUUAAAGGAGGAACACAAGUCAAAGGAUGAGGAGGAAAAAAUGAAAGCAAAGGAUUCUGUGACAUCAUCUCUCAGCAAUGGAUGCCCUACUGGGAACCACAAUUCAGAGCUGCCUGGUUUAAAUCCCCUCAGUGCCCUGCAGUCUGUGCUGAACAACCAUCUGGGCAAAGCAAAUGAGCCCCUGCGACCUCAGUCAAACUCCAGCCCCAGUUCAAGUUCAACGUCUUUGUUCCACAAACCAAAUUUAAAUAUAAUAGAGAAGCCUGCUCUGUCUCCUGCGUCAACGCCGGCUAAACCUGCAAAUGUUACAUCCCGGCGUUAUGUGUUUGAGAACAAUGACCAACCAAUUGACCUGACAAAGUCAAAGAAUAAGAAAGGGGAAUCUGUUCAGGCCCAGUCUUGUACUUCCCCACCUCAGAAGCAUGCUCUAUCUGACAUUGCAGACAUGGUCAAAGUCCUUCCCAAAGCAACAACCCCAAAACCUGCUGCUUCAUCCAGAAUCCCAUCCAUGAAACUGGAAAUGGAUGUUCGGCGUUUCGAAGAUGUCUCUACAGAAGUCUCCACUUUGCAUAAAAGAAAAGGAAGGCAGUCCAACUGGAAUCCUCAGCAUCUCCUGAUUCUGCAAGCGCAAUUUGCAUCCAGUCUCUUCCAAACAUCGGAGGGUAAAUAUUUAUUGUCAGAUCUGGGCCCUCAAGAACGUAUGCAGAUUUCCAAGUUUACGGGGUUGUCCAUGACUACCAUCAGCCAUUGGCUGGCGAACGUCAAGUACCAGCUCAGAAAAACUGGGGGGACAAAGUUUUUGAAAAACAUGGAUAAAGGACACCCCAUCUUUUAUUGCAGUGACUGCGCAUCUCAGUUUAGAACCCCAUCAACGUACAUCGGCCAUUUAGAAUCCCAUCUAGGUUUCCAAAUGAAAGACAUGAACAAGCUGGCUGUGGAGCAGCAAACCAAGGUAGAGCAAGACAUUUCCAGAAUUUCAGUUCAAAGAUCUCCUGAAACAAUAGCUGGAGAAGAGGACACAGACUCUAAAUUCAAAUGUAAGUUGUGCUCUCGGACAUUUGUGAGCAAACAUGCUGUAAAACUUCAUCUAAGCAAAACGCACAGCAAAUCACCAGAACAUCAUUCACAGUUUGUAGCAGAAGUGGAUGAAGAAUAACUCCUAAGGAUGCAUGCAGUAUUUCCUCCUCCUCCUUCAAUUUCAUACAAAAGAAAGUAGCAGCUCUAAAAGCAGAAGAAAAUCUUAGGACUGAUGCCUUAAUCCCCAAGCCCGCUUUCAACUGACCUCUGCAUGAUGCACCACUUCUGACAUUGAACUUCCAACCACCUGGACAGAGAAGACUGCCAAAAGAAUCAUAAUAAUAAUAAUAAUAAAAAUCUCCAGCUAUUCUUCUUCAUCCUCACUAACAAUUUGGUAAUGAAGUAUUGAUUUCCACUCCCCUGCUUAUGGACAAUAUUAGAUUUUCAUUGAUAAACUGCACCAAGGCUCUCUGAGCUCCACUGUCCUUUUUUGCUGUCAGUAAAACAAAGUACCGCUGAAGUAGGAUAAUGACUGAAAACAUUGAUGUACUUAUUUUGUCAAUUUGUAACACUCAACGGGGGGGAAGAAAAAAAAAGGAGUACAAUUCUUCAUAGUUUAAUGUCGAGGCAUGUUCCACAAGAUGCAGUCACACUAGAAGCUUUGCUUUUCAUGGUAAUGUCCAUUUCCUAUUUAUAACUCCUUUGGGAUAGUUUGUUUAAAGGAAAUGUUUCAACUCAGUGCAGCUAUUACCCACACCUGGCCUGCCCAAUCCAGUCAUUGCACCAGGGAUCAAUACAUCACCGUAAGUAGAAGAAUUAUUAAGUUAAAACAGAUUUUGAGCCAAAAAAAAAAAAAACUCGGAACAGCGUUAAUCUUCCCAGCAAGUUGUUCAAGAUAGUUAUAUGGUUAACCAUGUUGCUGCCAAAGAUUUGUUGAAAAACGGAUUUCUGGUUUUGUUUUUUUGCAUCUAUAAUUCAUGUUGUCUCCUCUCUCUUGUUAACGAUUAUUAUUUAAAAUCUCCACUGUUCUGUUUUCUCAAGAUGUAUGCAAUGGAGUGGAUAUUUUUCAACAAGCCAGCAAAGAUUGUGUGUAUUCAGUGCUAAAAACAGUGAACUAUGGUACGGUCAUUUCUUGCCUGUAUUAUUGAGAACAUUUUUGUAGACUACCUUCUCUGGCCCGGUGGCUUUCCGAUGGG